AGAGUUUGAUCCUGGCUCAGGACGAACGCUGGCGGCGUGCUUAACACAUGCAAGUCGAACGGUUCAACACUUGACACUCAAUGCUCUCAAAGCCAGAAUUGAUCAAAACAGCGCCAGAGAGAUGCGAACCCAGAGAGCAUCGCGCAAUCAAAAAAGAGCAACAACAAAGAGAAGAGAACAUUGAGAGUUGAGUGUUGAAUAGUGGCGGACGGGUGAGUAACGCGUGGGCAACCUACCCAUAAGAGGGGGAUAACAGUUGGAAACGACUGCUAAUACCGCAUAAACUAUAGAGUUCGGAUGGACUCAAUAGAAAAGAUGGCCACUUGACAAUGCUAUCGCUUAUGGAAGGGCCCGCGUCUGAUUAGCUAGUUGGUGGGGUAAAGGCCUACCAAGGCGACGAUCAGUAGCCGGCCUGAGAGGGUGGACGGCCACACUGGGACUGAGACACGGCCCAGACUCCUACGGGAGGCAGCAGUGGGGAAUAUUGCGCAAUGGGGGAAACCCUGACGCAGCGACGCCGCGUGAGCGAAGAAGGCCUUCGGGUUGUAAAGCUCUGUUUUAAGGGACGAACGUUCAUGGUAGUAACUGACUAUGAAAUGACGGUACCUUAAGAGGAAGCCCCGGCUAACUACGUGCCAGCAGCCGCGGUAAGACGUAGGGGGCGAGCGUUGUCCGGAAUUACUGGGCGUAAAGAGCACGUAGGCGGGUGAACAAGUCAGAUGUGAAAGACCGUGGCCCAACCACGGGGUUGCAUCUGAAACUGAACAUCUUGAGGGCAGGAGAGGGCAGUGGAAUUCCUGGUGUAGCGGUGAAAUGCGUAGAAAUCAGGAGGAACACCAGUGGCGAAGGCGGCUGCCUGGACUGACCCUGACGCUGAGGUGCGAAAGCGUGGGUAGCAAACAGGAUUAGAUACCCUGGUAGUCCACGCUGUAAACGAUGGAUACUAGGUGU
rnacentral:rRNA from 1 species